UUAAGCGACUAAGCGUACACGGUGGAUGCCCUGGCAGUCAGAGGCGAUGAAGGACGUGCUAAUCUGCGAUAAGCGUCGGUAAGGUGAUAUGAACCGUUAUAACCGGCGAUUUCCGAAUGGGGAAACCCAGUGUGAUUCGUCACACUAUCAUUAACUGAAUCCAUAGGUUAAUGAGGCGAACCGGGGGAACUGAAACAUCUAAGUACCCCGAGGAAAAGAAAUCAACCGAGAUUCCCCCAGUAGCGGCGAGCGAACGGGGAGCAGCCCAGAGCCUGAAUCAGUGUGUGUGUUAGUGGAAGCGUCUGGAAAGGCGUGCGAUACAGGGUGACAGCCCCGUACACAAAAAUGCACAUACUGUGAGCUCGAUGAGUAGGGCGGGACACGUGGUAUCCUGUCUGAAUAUGGGGGGACCAUCCUCCAAGGCUAAAUACUCCUGACUGACCGAUAGUGAACCAGUACCGUGAGGGAAAGGCGAAAAGAACCCCGGCGAGGGGAGUGAAAAAGAACCUGAAACCGUGUACGUACAAGCAGUGGGAGCACGCUUAGGCGUGUGACUGCGUACCUUUUGUAUAAUGGGUCAGCGACUUAUAUUCUGUAGCAAGGUUAACCGAAUAGGGGAGCCGAAGGGAAACCGAGUCUUAACUGGGCGUUAAGUUGCAGGGUAUAGACCCGAAACCCGGUGAUCUAGCCAUGGGCAGGUUGAAGGUUGGGUAACACUAACUGGAGGACCGAACCGACUAAUGUUGAAAAAUUAGCGGAUGACUUGUGGCUGGGGGUGAAAGGCCAAUCAAACCGGGGGAUAGCUGGUUCUCCCCGAAAGCUAUUUAGGUAGCGCCUCGUGAAUUCAUCUCCGGGGGUAGAGCACUGUUUCGGCAAGGGGGUCAUCCCGACUUACCAACCCGAUGCAAACUGCGAAUACCGGAGAAUGUUAUUACGGGAGACACACGGCGGGUGCUAACGUCCGUCGUGAAGAGGGAAACAACCCAGACCGCCAGCUAAGGUCCCAAAGUCAUGGUUAAGUGGGAAACGAUGUGGGAAGGCCCAGACAGCCAGGAUGUUGGCUUAGAAGCAGCCAUCAUUUAAAGAAAGCGUAAUAGCUCACUGGUCGAGUCGGCCUGCGCGGAAGAUGUAACGGGGCUAAACCAUGCACCGAAGCUGCGGCAGCGACGCUUAUGCGUUGUUGGGUAGGGGAGCGUUCUGUAAGCCUGUGAAGGUGUGCUGUGAGGUAUGCUGGAGGUAUCAGAAGUGCGAAUGCUGACAUAAGUAACGAUAAAGCGGGUGAAAAGCCCGCUCGCCGGAAGACCAAGGGUUCCUGUCCAACGUUAAUCGGGGCAGGGUGAGUCGACCCCUAAGGCGAGGCCGAAAGGCGUAGUCGAUGGGAAACAGGUUAAUAUUCCUGUACUUGGUGUUACUGCGAAGGGGGGACGGAGAAGGCUAUGUUGGCCGGGCGACGGUUGUCCCGGUUUAAGCGUGUAGGCUGGUUUUCCAGGCAAAUCCGGAAAAUCAAGGCCGAGGCGUGAUGACGAGGCACUACGGUGCUGAAGCAACAAAUGCCCUGCUUCCAGGAAAAGCCUCUAAGCAUCAGGUAACAUCAAAUCGUACCCCAAACCGACACAGGUGGUCAGGUAGAGAAUACCAAGGCGCUUGAGAGAACUCGGGUGAAGGAACUAGGCAAAAUGGUGCCGUAACUUCGGGAGAAGGCACGCUGAUACGUAGGUGAAGCGACUUGCUCGUGGAGCUGAAAUCAGUCGAAGAUACCAGCUGGCUGCAACUGUUUAUUAAAAACACAGCACUGUGCAAACACGAAAGUGGACGUAUACGGUGUGACGCCUGCCCGGUGCCGGAAGGUUAAUUGAUGGGGUUAGCGCAAGCGAAGCUCUUGAUCGAAGCCCCGGUAAACGGCGGCCGUAACUAUAACGGUCCUAAGGUAGCGAAAUUCCUUGUCGGGUAAGUUCCGACCUGCACGAAUGGCGUAAUGAUGGCCAGGCUGUCUCCACCCGAGACUCAGUGAAAUUGAACUCGCUGUGAAGAUGCAGUGUACCCGCGGCAAGACGGAAAGACCCCGUGAACCUUUACUAUAGCUUGACACUGAACAUUGAGCCUUGAUGUGUAGGAUAGGUGGGAGGCUUUGAAGUGUGGACGCCAGUCUGCAUGGAGCCGACCUUGAAAUACCACCCUUUAAUGUUUGAUGUUCUAACGUGGACCCGUGAUCCGGGUUGCGGACAGUGUCUGGUGGGUAGUUUGACUGGGGCGGUCUCCUCCUAAAGAGUAACGGAGGAGCACGAAGGUUGGCUAAUCCUGGUCGGACAUCAGGAGGUUAGUGCAAUGGCAUAAGCCAGCUUGACUGCGAGCGUGACGGCGCGAGUAGGUGCGAAAGCAGGUCAUAGUGAUCCGGUGGUUCUGAAUGGAAGGGCCAUCGCUCAACGGAUAAAAGGUACUCCGGGGAUAACAGGCUGAUACCGCCCAAGAGUUCAUAUCGACGGCGGUGUUUGGCACCUCGAUGUCGGCUCAUCACAUCCUGGGGCUGAAGUAGGUCCCAAGGGUAUGGCUGUUCGCCAUUUAAAGUGGUACGCGAGCUGGGUUUAGAACGUCGUGAGACAGUUCGGUCCCUAUCUGCCGUGGGCGCUGGAGAACUGAGGGGGGCUGCUCCUAGUACGAGAGGACCGGAGUGGACGCAUCACUGGUGUUCGGGUUGUCAUGCCAAUGGCACUGCCCGGUAGCUAAAUGCGGAAGAGAUAAGUGCUGAAAGCAUCUAAGCACGAAACUUGCCCCGAGAUGAGUUCUCCCUGACCCUUUAAGGGUCCUGAAGGAACGUUGAAGACGACGACGUUGAUAGGCCGGGUGUGUAAGCGCAGCGAUGCGUUGAGCUAACCGGUACUAAUGAACCGUGAGGCUUAACCUU
rnacentral:rRNA from 1 species